rnacentral:rRNA from 1 species
UACGUAUGGGGCUAGCGUUAUCCGGAUUUAUUGGGCGUAAAGAGCGCGUAGGCGGCUUGUUAAGUCAGAUGUGAAAACCGGGGGCUCAACCCGCGGCCUGCAUCUGAAACUGGCAGGCUUGAGUCUGGUAGAGGAAAGUGGAAUUCCUAGUGUAGCGGUGAAAUGCGCAGAUAUUAGGAGGAACACCAGUGGCGAAGGCGGCUUUCUGGGCCACGACUGACGCUGAGGCGCGAAAGCUAGGGGAGCAAACAGG